ensembl:lncRNA
GAAACUUUGCUCAAGAAUAGAAUUCUAUGCACUGUGAAAUAAUUAUCAAGAAAUUUCAAAAUCAUGUUUUCAAACAGUGACUGCCUUCUUCAGGGCAGCAGGAACUACAUCCUGCAUCAAAGAAGGACUCAAUUUUCCUCAUGUCUGGAGUCUCAGUCUCAGCAGAAGUCUAGAAAGAGUCUAGAAGGACCCAGAAUUUGCAACAAUCCUCAUACUAGCUUCUCCACAUUCAGGAGCUGAAAGUAUCCAACAUGGCAAGUCUAGAGUGUUAUACCAUUGACAAAAUUGAUGUGGGCUGACUCAUCAAGGAAGUCACAGCCUGAGGUUUACAAGAGCUGAGCCAGGUGUUUGAGAAGACUUUUUGGAGAUCUUUUAUUCAUAGGGUUACCAUAAGUUGGAAGAGACUUGACAGCUCAUAACAACAACAUUCCUUCCUAACCUUGUGAUAAAUAGAUUUGCUCCAAUUCAUAGCAGAUAGACAUGAUUCCAUCUGCAAAAUGUAGAGCAGACUGAUCAAAGAAAAUAUCUGAGACGUCUACCAAUUGAUCCUCCGGGUAGUAAAAGGAGGUGUCUUGUCACUUGAAAGAGUUCUGUUAGUUGGCAUUGCACAGAUGGAAUGGUGGUGAAGGGGCAAGUAAUUACCACACCUCCAGUGUAAAUCACCAUCUUUUGCCCUUUUUUUCUGCAGCUGCCUAACUGAUGAAUGUGUACACCUCUGGGAAAAGACCCUCUUUCCAUAUGAGCUUCAUUGCUUUAAGAGCACAGGCAAAGAUAGGGAAACUUGAGAUUGUUGAGUGAUGAGGUGACAUAAGGGAGACAAUGGAAAGCAGCAGAUGGUGGAUGGCUGCAAUUAGUCAUGCAUUAACCAGGAGGAGAGCAUGUUAUUACUUUAAAACAUCAUGUACAAGAGUGCCAGAAAUCAAUGGGAAGAAGGGGCACUGGAUGAAAAAGGGACAGGGGGGAAGCUCUGUAUAUUUCUGCAAGCCGAUAAAAGAUGCACUUAUCUAAGUAAGUUUUUUCUCAUGUGUUCAUAUUGAUAACUGUAAUCUGUGGUCAGAAAACAUCUCUACAUAUUUAUAAUGUAACCAGAUGUGUAACUCUGCAGUUGAAAGUAAUUGGAAUCACCUUCCCCUAUAGUGGAGGACCUUGAUAUUCAUUUUGCAUCCUUUUCUCCAUGGAACUGAAGCUACCUUACAGUGUUCCCUGUAAAAUAUCCCAUGAAACAGGAUAGGCAGAGAGAUGGACAUCUGCCUUAAACCACAUAGAACUGAUCAUAUGCUUGACAUCCCUGAAGAACUGUUUUGGAUGUAAUUCUAGAUAGGGAGCCUAUGCCGAUCCAGGGAGUUCUCAUUCUUGCAAUGCACACCAGCUGUCGCUGCUGCUUGUCCACUUCCUCCCUCUGAUCAAGCGAGCAGUUGCAAAAGCAAAGAAGAAGGUAUGGUGGUAUCCACUUGUUUCAGCCUCUGCCCUGAGUGGUGGUAUGGAUUAGGCCCAGUAGACCAGGCAAACAAACAGCAGCAACAGCAUUUAGGAGGUGUGAAGAUUCCCUGAAGAUCAAGGUCCCUCAAAGAUAAAAUUCAUGCACUCUGGAUGAGGGUGGAGGUCUGAAGUUAAGUAUUCUUAACUUCAACAAAACAAACACCAAUACUGAUUUGCACAAUAGCAACAUCAAAGCUAAGAGGAAAGUUAAGUAUUCUUAACUUCAACAAAACACCAAUAUUGAUUUGCACAAUAGCAACACCAAAGCUAAGAGGUUCAGCUGGAACCAAAAUUAAUUUUAAGCCUAUUGCUUCUCUGUCUUUCUCUGCUACAUAAUGAUAUUGGAACUGUGUUAUACUUUAGGACCCAUCUUCUGAUAUUACUCAUAUGUGGUGGCUAGAAUUAUAAGCCCUGAUCCUUCUGAUCUUUCCAUCAGAAAUAAAGAAAGUUGGUUACUAGAGAUAGAACUUUUC